UACGAAGGGGGCUAGCGUUGCUCGGAAUCACUGGGCGUAAAGGGUGCGUAGGCGGGUCUUUAAGUCAGGGGGGAAAUCCUGGAGCUCAACUCCAGAACUGCCUUUGAUACUGAGGAUCUUGAGUUCGGGAGAGGUGAGUGGAACUGCGAGUGUAGAGGUGAAAUUCGUAGAUAUUGGGAAGAACACCGGUGGCGAAGGCGGCUCACUGGCUCGUAACUGACGCUCAUGCACGACAGCGUGGGGAUCAAACAGG
rnacentral:rRNA from 1 species